rnacentral:rRNA from 1 species
UAGGGAAUCUUCGGCAAUGGGGGGAACCCUGACCGAGCAACGCCGCGUGAGUGAAGAAGGUUUUCGGAUCGUAAAGCUCUGUUGUAAGAGAAGAACGGGUGUGAGAGUGGAAAGUUCACACUGUGACGGUAUCUUACCAGAAAGGGACGGCUAACUACGUGCCAGCAGCCGCGGUAAUACGUAGGUACCGAGCGUUGUCCGGAUUUAUUGGGCGUAAAGCGAGCGCAGGCGGUUAGAUAAGUCUGAAGUUAAAGGCUGUGGCUUAACCAUAGUAUGCUUUGGAAACUGUUUAACUUGAGUGCAGAAGGGGAGAGUGGAAUUCCAUGUGUAGCGGUGAAAUGCGUAGAUAUAUGGAGGAACACCGGUGGCGAAAGCGGCUCUCUGGUCUGUAACUGACGCUGAGGCUCGAAAGCGUGGGGAGCAAACA